rnacentral:rRNA from 1 species
UACCAGCACCCCGAGUGGUCGGGACGAUUAUUGGGCCUAAAGCAUCCGUAGCCGGUCCUACAAGUCUUCCGUUAAAUCCACCUGCUUAACAGAUGGGCUGCGGAAGAUACUAUAGGGCUAGGAGGCGGGAGAGGCAAGCGGUACUCAGUGGGGUAGGGGUAAAAUCCUCUGAUCCAUUGAAGACCACCAGUGGCGAAGGCGGCUUGCCAGAACGCGCUCGACGGUGAGGGAUGAAAGCUGGGGGAGCAAAC